GUUACAGUGUGAUCGUCUCCAGGAGUGCCCAAACCGUGAACAGCAACAUCACCAUGUCUGCCUCAGAAUAAAAGAACAGCAGCGUGGAGUGUGUCAGCAGAAAUGUAAUUGGCCAGACCGAGAUGGAAUUCCCCAUACUACACCAAGCUGAAGGGAGCCUGACACAUAUCCCUGGGUCAGAGAAGAGGGAUGUUGCAGUCUUUCCCUGGAUAAUCGUUGGCUUGUCCCUCAGCCUUAAUGUGGCCCUCCUUGUCUAUCUGACCAGCGCUUGUAAAUGACAGGUAGAUGAAGAGGGCAAAGUCACACCGAGAGACACACCAGCUACAUUUAUGGUCCAGGGGAGAACUGCAUUCCCACAUCCUCCAGAAAGAGCUACAAUAUAUGAAGAGAGAAACAGUAUCAUCAGAGCAGUCUUAGACCUCUUGCAAUAACCACACCACAACCUUGACACAACACAAUUGCAAGCAAAUACUGUCUUUGGGAAAAUGCAUGUUUUUUCUGAAAAUUAUAGCACUUCUCUGUUUCCCUCCUUUUGGGUGACCUGCAACUUCUCUCAAAUUCUUCUCUCUCACAUCUAGAAAACAAAGUGCAUACUCUGUUAAUCAUGUUCAUGUAAUAGGGUCCACGUUGCGUUGCCUUGCCAUCC
ensembl:lncRNA